GAUGAACGCUGACAGAAUGCUUAACACAUGCAAGUCAACUUGAACUUCGGUUUGGGUGGCGGACGGGUGAGUAACGCGUAAAGAACUUGCCUCACAGUUAGGGACAACAUUUGGAAACGAAUGCUAAUACCUGAUAUUAUGAUUUUAGGGCAUCCUAGAAUUAUGAAAGCUAUAUGCGCUGUGAGAGAGCUUUGCGUCCCAUUAGCUAGUUGGAGAGGUAACGGCUCACCAAGGCGAUGAUGGGUAGCCGGCCUGAGAGGGUGAACGGCCACAAGGGGACUGAGACACGGCCCUUACUCCUACGGGAGGCAGCAGUGGGGAAUAUUGGACAAUGGACCAAGAGUCUGGUCCAGCAAUUCUGUGUGCACGAUGAAGUUUUUCGGAAUGUAAAGUGCUUUCAGUUGGGAAGAAAAAAAUGACGAUACCAACAGAAGAAGUGACGGCUAAAUACGUG
rnacentral:rRNA from 1 species